CCUACGGGAGGCAGCAGUGGGGAAUAUUGGACAAUGGGGGCAACCCUGAUCCAGCAACGCCGCGUGGAGGAAGAAGGCCUUCGGGUCGUAAACUCCUGUCAGGUGGGACGAAACAGCCGAGGUCAAUAGCCUCGGUUUCUGACGGUACCGCCAGAGGAAGCCCCGGCUAACUCCGUGCCAGCAGCCGCGGU
rnacentral:rRNA from 1 species